GGAAAGAUGUGACGUAAUCACCACGUGAGCUGUUCUGACCUCAUCAGCUGCAGCCUGUCCGCGUCUUUCUCCAGGGCGUCAAUCAGUAAGAAAGAGUCCUCCGCCGGCUCGUAGACAUCUCGGAAGUCUCCUCUCCCUGCAUGGGAGUAAACUGGUGUGGGGUAACUUGCAGACAUGUAGUCUUCAGUUAGCAGCCUCGCUAACCGCCCGCACGUGCCCCUGUCUUACCGGCGAGUGCACAGUUUCCGGACCACAACUGUGGAGUUUUUUUCACUUUAUCUACAUCUUUGUCAAUA